AGAUGAUGCCAGUCUCUCUGUCUGUCCAUCCGACCGUCCGUCCGACCAGCACAGAUUGUACAGCACUCUCACUAGAACCACACAAGGAUUCAGUACGGAUUUGAAUGAGGCUUUCAAUGCAGCAACCCAGGAGUCACUGUUUCGCAGGAUGGCAGAUGACAGCGGGGGCCACCAGGGAUUCGCUGGCUCCCGGUGAAGCUCCAUUUGCUGCCCUCCGUGGAGAAUCCCCCCCACCAGCUGUAUUUCAAGACCGUCGCACUGCUGUCACGGCAAAGACUCCGGCAACAAGGCGAGGCCUCUCCCAUAAAACAUCAAAAGCGUCCGCUGCAAUGAAAACACAAAUAGGAGAACGCCAGAUCAGAAAAAAGGCUCAUGUGGUUACUUCAGAUUUCACUGCAAUGAUGAGGACUUGUUGAUUUGGACAGAACAACUCUUCUGCUGUGAACAAAGUGUCUCUCUUUUGUCCUGGCUGGAAAACCAAAAUCUCCUCUCUGCCUCCAACCUGAGGACGCAUGCUGAACUUCUGAGGUAUUCAUUUAGCAUUUUCCCUGCGUGGCAGCAUGUGCUGUAGACUCACAGGGUCGAUAUGCCUGCAGAGAGGAGGGAGGAAACAAAAGAAAUCAGCCGCAGAGAUCUUUUCUGUCCCACCAACCACCUCCCCCCUAACGCCAGGAGACAUGAAACCCAUUAUCUUGAUGGGAUCAGGCAGCAUCUAUCUUAAUAUUGGAUUGCAUAUGAUGACAACGAUGAUCCUCGGAGCAACAGCUCGAGAGCUUCCUGGCGGCAGACUAUUCCAGGUCGUAACAAGUGGAGCAGAAAACAUGACAGCUUUCUAUCCCAUCUCUGUCUGAGCAUUAGGGAAAGACAGCAAAUAUACGUCCUGUGAUGUAAAGGUAAUGUCUGACACAAACCUGCUACUGCAGUCACUUACAGCACUUUUGUCAAAUGUAUUUGCGCUGCAGGAUUAUGUGGCCUGAACCCAAAACAAGUUGUUUUAGGUGAGUUGUUAUAAGAGGUAGAUGAGUACAAGUAACAAUCACAAAAAAAGCUUUUCUGGGUUAUGAAAAAUACACAAUUACAUUUUUUAAAUCUAAAUCUUCAAGAAAACCAAUCUGCGUCCCAUGUAACCCGGCAGAAAGAGGAUAACUGCAACAGCGCAUAUGCAGGUCUAAGCUACAGUCAGUUGUAUAUUAAAGGGCCUAUUUUGGUAUUGUUCUGAAAAUAAAAUAUAAAGUACCCUGCAUACAUACUGUCAAAAAGCUUAAACAGUUUCUCUGAGUGAUGAGGAUGGACUUAGAAUUUCUGAUCCAUUAAGGAUUAACAGGAAGUUUCGUCCAGCUGCAAAAAGUGCAACACGUCGCAGCAGUUGUUGCUGUUCGAAGGCAUUAAUCUCAUUCCCAGCAGCAGCUAAAUGUCCUAAAACAACCACCCAGCGCUCCUCCUUAAUCCCUCCACUGUUGUAAAAAUUGUUUUCGCUUUCCUUUGGAAUCCCGGCAGGAAUUACAAGACAGGGAACCAGAUGUAUCUUCUAAGACUAAAAAAAAGUAAAAGGAAGCGCAGAGAUUAAGACUAAUGCCUUUCAAUAUUGUUAUACAGAUGAAACUUUCCAAAAAAAUAAAAGUACAAGGAGCAACAAUGCCAUUUCAUUCCCAGAAAGAGCUCAGUGGCCCAGAUGCUACGAGGAUUCAGACAUUAGUGCUGGAGCAUUUGUUGAUGCAACAUUUCAUUUUUUCCCGUUUGUGUCGCACUGCUCUACAUAUGGCCUCCAAGCAGAAAAGUAAAGUUGUUGUAUGUUAUUACUUGCCUAAUAGCAGCUUGGUUUAUAUUUGAUCUGUUUUUUAUUUGAUUAUUUAUGUGGACAAUGCACAUUAAUCAACAUGCACAUUUUGGGAAACAUCAACGUAAAUGUUUCAGCUCAGCAGCUAAUUUGCACCCGGAGUCCCAGCACAACAGAAACGAGACAAAACAAAUGUUCAGAAACAAUAAGAAUAAUAGAAAAAUAUUGUUUUUUUGGUCCAGAUUAUCUUAAACAAUACAAUCAAAUAGUUAUUUUAAAGAAAGUAGAUACAAUUCCUAAUUUGAGACCAACAUGAUUACAAGUGCUUUUCAGACUGCCAUCAUUCAGAUGUAAACUGAAUCUAUGCUGUGUAGUUGGCACUUUCUUAGCAACAACCCAAGGGACUCUGUAACAGUGUUUAAAAUCUAAAAUACAUAUCUUCCGACUGUCUUUGUUACUUCAUUUAAAAUUAUUUUAUGAGCCUCUAUGGGCCUUUUCUUCAGCCGGGUACCAUUUUACAAAAACUAUGCAAAUACGCAUCACUCAGACAUUGACAUGAUUGGACAAACACAAGACUAGCUGAGUGGGAAAACACGUAAACUGUAAUUUCUCCUAAACUUUCCACCAAUAAUUGUUUUUGAAUACCUACAAACUGUGGUUGAGAAACAGGAAUCACAGUUACAGAAUCAGGGUUAGAAGUCUAGGGAGGCGGUGAUUCACAUUAUCUUCCAAAUAAUCCACCGAAACAGCAGAAUCAUUGUAUACUUUUAUGCCAGUGUCACCUGUUUUAAAAAAGUUGUUAACAAGUUUUUGUUUUAAGCCUCUAAACCAGUCCCCAUAGUUCACUGAUUGGGCUGACGUAUCUGAUCUGCUCCAGUUCAUCAGCUCCUCAUGGACAUUGUGGUGAAAACUGAGCUUGUGAGAUGUCUUUGAGAGGCUACAUUCCUACAUUUGUUUCGGUUGUUCAGCUUGUAGUAAUGCUGAUGAUACGAUGGGAUGGUAGGUUAGAGGUUGGCUGUGCAGGUUUCAUAGGUCACUUUUUAAUUGAAACGAUCAUAUGUAGUUUGUCUCUUCUUUUCACUAUGAACCAGUUUUCUCUCAUGAACUGUCACCACAGUGAUGUUUAAUUUUUCUGGCGGAUCAGUGUAGUCACCCCUUAAAAAUAUUGCUUAACAUUUGUUUCACGGAUGAGACGUGAUGGCCCUAUGAGAACUUUAUGAAGGGGUUCCUCAGGGAGCCUAACCAGGCUCCAUUACAGUUUUGAACAGACUUACAAGAUUCCUCCCCAUGAAGCAUUCAUUUGACGAUUUGGUGAAGUCUGGACAUCUGGGAUAAAUCUGGGCUAAACACAGGUUUUUUUAUUACUAUGUUUCAAUAUUAAAUAGGUCCUAACCACUUGUUGAAAUAUAGACACUGAAAUGCUGUCAUGUGUAAUCUUUUCAACCAAAUUUAGCUCAGUUUCAACCUAGUCUAGACUGUCUAGACUUUUUGAAUUGCAAAUCACUGCUAACUGGGUCAGUAUGAAUACAAAUAUUACAUUUAGUGUCCACAAUCUGCAGCAGAGAUAAACCAGAUUUUGCAUGAUUGUUUGGUUUUGUUUCUUCAUGAAGAGCCUCUUUCUCAGGUUGGUUCUUUUCAGGAACAUGUAAACAGAGUAUUUUCACACUCCCUCCCUCCGUGACAGUCUGACUUCACCCCCCGCUCUGUGGGAAGAGCAAAGAGCUGUCCCCGGCACUUUGUGUCAAGGCCUGAAGCACGGUCAGCCAGAGACAUCCAGACGUCCUCGAUGUGAAGAGAAGAGAAUGGGAGAGGAAGAGAAACUCUGUGUGACACGGAGGGGGAGGCGGGGGGGAGGAAAAGGCGAGGCCGCCUCAGACGACUGCCGAGCUGCAUCCAAGUGUCAGUGUCCCAAAAUAGUGGCGAGCAACGACCAGACUGAAGACACCAAACAAACAACAGCUCUCAGAUCAAGUAAACAUCGGCUAACACACAAGACACGACAAACUGUGAAGCCUCCCUCUGUCUUCCGGUCUCGUUAAUCAGAGCUGCGGAGAAAGCAAUCGGAGGGGACACCCGUCCUAUUAGAGGAGGCUGCAGCCGUCUCUCCCCUCCUCUGACCGGCGUCCUCGCAAACACUUUGCCUUCGAAAAAACGUUGACAAGCUCCCUCUGUGCGGUGCUGUGUGGACACAGAGGACAGAGUCUCGUCUCCAGCAGAUGUCUUGUGGCGCAGACUAUAAAUAAAGCCAAUGAGACCAGCCGGCCGCUGACGAGCACAAGCCGCCGCGAGGCCGUGUGAGCUUUGCAAAGGGCCUGUCUAGCCUUGGCACGGCAGGCGGGCCAACAUUUGGCGGGCCCUGUGUCGAAGCCUGUGAUGCCUAUGAGCUUUGUGUUCAGGGUUUGAGAGGAAAAUAAAGAUUCUAGCCCCUAGAUUUGAGGUUAUCAAAGUUUUCCAUGCACGGGCAAGUGGGAGAGGAAAUGGUGGAAGCUGAGGUGCACAAAAGAAGCUUGGUAGAGAGGCGCCUGAGGAAACAAAAACAUGGAUGCAGUGGAAAACAUGUCAUGCAUUGUUAAUUUCUCCUCUGUGCAGUAACAUAUAGUCAAUUUAGCAUGGGUUUGACAUCAGUGAGAAGAACUAUAACAUCUAAUGUAUUUAAUGUGCCAUUAAACAGUCAGAGAGGAGCGCA